UGGGGAAUCUUGCGCAAUGGGCGAAAGCCUGACGCAGCAACGCCGCGUGUGUGAUGAAGGUCUUCGGAUCGUAAAGCACUGUCGGGAGGGACGAAUAAGGGCCGGGCCAACAUCCCGGUCCGAUGACGGUACCUCCAAAGGAAGCACCGGCUAACUCUGUGCCAGCAGCCGCGGUAAUACAGAGGGUGCAAGCGUUGUUCGGAAUUAUUGGGCGUAAAGCGCGUGUAGGCGGCCAACCAAGUCGGGUGUGAAAGCCCUCGGCUCAACCGAGGAAGUGCGCCCGAAACUAGAUGGCUUGAGUACCAGAGAGGGUGGCGGAAUUCCCGGUGUAGAGGUGAAAUUCGUAGAUAUCGGGAGGAACACCAGCGGCGAAGGCGGCCACCUGGAUGGAUACUGACGCUGAGACGCGAAAGCGUGGGGAGCAAACAGG
rnacentral:rRNA from 1 species